AAACGAAGUGAAUUGAAAUAUCUUAUUAGCUUCAGGAAUAUAAAUCAAAAGAGAUUCUGCAACUAGUGUGAAUGAAAGUGGAAUAGCCUAAAAAUUAAAAAGUAAAAUGGAGUAUAUACCUGUUUGAAUAAAGGGGAACCUUCCUCUAAGGCUAAAUAUGAUAUAUAAGCAAUAGCGUAUAGUACCGUGAGGGAAAGGAUAGAAGUAGUAAUUUUAUAAGCAGCUUGAUUAAUAAAAAAUAAAGCGUACCUUUUGUAUAAUGGGUCAGCAAGUUAAUACUAGAUGCGAGCAAAUAGCAAAGAUAAACCAGUUAUAAUUUAAUAAUUAGUAUCUAAGAUUAGACCCGAAACCUAGUGAUCUUACUAUGAUCAGGGUUAUAAAAGCCCGAACGGUUUAUCGUUGUAAAGAUAUCCGAUGAAUUGUGGUAAGUUAGUGAAAGACAAUACUGACUAGGAUAGCUGGUUGAAUGACUUAACGAUACAACAACUGUCUCUAUGAUUGGCUCAGUGAAAUUGGAAUAACUGUGAAGAUACAGUUUACCUCUAGAUAGACGAGAAGACCCUAUGCAGCUUUACUGUUACUAGUUAUAGGAUAUAAUAUAGUGAGUUUUAGUGAAUAAGGUAAUUUAUAUAAUAAAAUUGAAACACCUUUAUUUCACUUAUUAUAUUCGGCAAUUAAACCAUGAAUUAUGGUUUAAUUUGCCACUAACCUUUUAAGGAACAAUUGCUAGGUGGCGGUUUAUGCGGGGCACAGAUCCCAGAAAAAGUAACUAAAGUUUAAUGGCUUAAUCUUGCUUUACUGUUUAACUUACAAGUUAUUCAGUCGCGUAAGCGGGGCAUAUGAUCACAAGAUGCAGAAAGGAAAGGUCUUGGAUUUUUGAAAAAGCUACGCUAGGGAUUAAGCCUUAGUCCUCGAACAGGCUUAAUGCGCAAGAGAGUUCAAAUUGAGUGCGCAGUCUGGCACCUCGAUGUCGGCUUAGCUUAUCCACAUGAAUGCACAAAUCAUGAAGGGUGGGACUGUUCGUCCAUUAAAAAGCUACACGAGCUGGGUUAAAUACGUCGUAAGACAGUAUGGUUUCUAUCUUCUAGAGGAAAUUAGAGUAAAAUAAAUAUAGCCCCUUCGUACGAAAGGAUUUGGGUAUGUUAACCUAUGGUUUACUUGUUGUUUGUGUACUAAUAUUAAUGCCAUACAUUCUAAGGUAAUCUUUAUUAUAAAGAAGUGAUCUAACUAUACACUAUAGAUUUGUUUUAACACAGGCACGGCAGGAAAGCUAAGUUAGCUAAAGAUAAGUGCUGAAAGCAUAUAGGCACGAAACUUA
rnacentral:rRNA from 1 species